rnacentral:rRNA from 1 species
GACGAACGCUGGCGGCGUGCUUAACACAUGCAAGUGGAGCGACGAACCAGGCUUCGGCCUGGGGCAAAGCCGCGAACGGGUGAGUAACACGUGGGUAACCUGCCCUGAUGACCGGGACAACCCGAGGAAACUCGGGCUAAUACCGGAUGUGCUCCCACCACAUCAGUGGUGUGAGUAAAGGUAGCUUCGGCCUCCGCAUCGGGAUGGGCCCGCGGCGCAUUAGCUUGUUGGUGGGGUAAAGCCACCAAGGCAACGAUGCGUAGCUGGUCUGAGAGGACGAUCAGCCACACUGGGACUGAGACACGGCCCAGACUCCUACGGGAGGCAGCAGUGGGGAAUCUUGCGCAAUGCGCGAAAGCGUGACGCAGCAACGCCGCGUGGGUGAAGAAGGCCUGGUGUAAGA